rnacentral:rRNA from 1 species
UGGGGUAAGACCCAUGCUUUUCUAGACUCUAAAAAGGUCUUGGAAUAAGAGGUGGGUAAGGACGGUGCCAGCCGCCGCGGUAAUACCGGCGCCUCAAGUGGUAGUCGCUUUUAUUGGGCCUAAAACGUCCGUAGCCGGUCUGAUACAUUCGUGGGUAAAUCAACCAGCUUAACUGGUUGAAUUCUGCGAGGACGGCCAGACUUGGGACCGGGAGAGGUGUGGGGUACGCUCAGGGUAGGGGUAAAAUCCUGUCAUCCUGAGCGGACCACCUGUUGCGAAGGCGCCACACUAGAACGGAUCCGACGGUCAGGGACGAAGCCUAGGGGCACGAACCGGAUUAGAUACCCGGGUAGUCCUAGGUGUAAACGCUGUGGACUUGAUGUUGGGGGUGCUCCGAGCACUCUCAGUGUCGAAGCGAAGGUGAUAAGUCCACUGCCUGGGAAGUACGGUCGCAAGGCUGAAACUUAAAGG